GGGAAAUAGAAGGGUGUGUCCUUCUUGUGUGGUACUUGCAAUAAGGCAAUUGUACCCUGCACAGGAUGGAAUAUACAUGGGAUUUAAAAGAGCAUGAGCAAUUAGUUGCACAGUUACAGGUGUCACUAAAUAUUUUGUUGUGAGAUACAAAGUGGUAAAUCCAAUUCACCUACAUUUUAAUUAGUCCCUUAUAUUUUCUUUCUAGAAGAUAAUUAACCCUUUAGCCCAUUGAGUGGCAGCACUCUCCACUUGACGAAUAAAAUCAUCUGGCACUAGACAGAGUAAAAUACUGAAGUAGGGCGCAUCUGGGUGCAUUGCCACUUAAAGCCUGGUUCACAUAUGCCUGCGACUGUAUCAUUAUGCCUCUACUUGCCGCAGAAAUACCGGCAAAGUUGAAC